UACGGGGGGUGCGAGCGUUGUCCGGAAUCACUGGGCGUAAAGGGCGCGUAGGUGGUUUGAUAAGGGUGUGGUGAAAGUCCGGAGCUCAGCUCCGGAUCUGCCGUGCCGACUGUCAAACUCGAGGGCUGUAGAGGCAGACGGAAUUCCGGGUGUAGCGGUGGAAUGCGUAGAGAUCCGGAGGAAGACCGGUGGCGAAGGCGGUCUGCUGGGCAGUUUCUGACACUGAGGCGCGACAGCGUGGGGAGCAAACAGG
rnacentral:rRNA from 1 species